rnacentral:rRNA from 1 species
UUGGUGAACCAGCGGAGGGAUCAUUACC